GGUCGCCAGGAAGUCAUUGCCGCUAAGCAACCGUCAGGCGAAGUUGAGCACCGUGCGAGGCUGGCCAGGGGAGUGUGUGGCCCCGGCAGCGACUGUCACGCCGCCACGCUGGGAGGCAUCGCUGUGGCUCUGGCCGGUACAGUCAACUAGUGAUGGCUUCUGGCAAGAAACUCAACUAUGUGAAUUUUGGAUUCAAAAGCAUUACUGGGAAAGGUGUAGCUAAUCUUUAGUGUGUUAGUUGUAGUAAAACAUUCACAGCUGAAUUACUCAGCCCCAGUAAUAGCCAUCCUGAAUAUGUUGGCAAAGAUCUUUCAUUCUUUAGUCGGCGUCAGACAGAUCUGAGGAGCCAGCGUCCUCCAGCGGCUCCAGUCAUCAACAAAAUGCAAGUAAGUGCUUUGAAAAUUUUUGUAAGAGAUGUUAAGCAGAUA